GACGAACGCUGGCGGCGUGCCUAAUACAUGCAAGUUGAGCGCUGAAGGUUGGUACUUGUACCAACUGGAUGAGCAGCGAACGGGUGAGUAACGCGUGGGGAAUCUGCCUUUGAGCGGGGGACAACAUUUGGAAACGAAUGCUAAUACCGCAUAAAAACUUUAAACACAAGUUUUAAGUUUGAAAGAUGCAAUUGCAUCACUCAAAGAUGAUCCCGCGUUGUAUUAGCUAGUUGGUGAGGUAAAGGCUCACCAAGGCGAUGAUACAUAGCCGACCUGAGAGGGGGAUCGGCCACAUUGGGACUGAGACACGGCCCAAACUCCUACGGGAGGCAGCAGUAGGGAAUCGUCGGCAAUGGACGAAAGUCUGACCGAGCAACGCCGCGUGAGGGAAGAAGGUUUUCGGAUCGUAAAACUCUGUUGGUAGAGAAGAACGUUGGUGAGAGUGGAAAGCUCAUCAAGUGACGGUAACUACCCAGAAAGGGACGGCUAACUACGUG
rnacentral:rRNA from 1 species